GUGAGAAUCACAGUGCAGCUCUCCUCUGGCAUGAAGGCUGAGAGAGUCAUGAGCAGUUUUCUGGCCUUUCCCUGCCAAAGGAGAGCUGCCCUGCCAUUCAUUA
rnacentral:pre_miRNA from 1 species